rnacentral:rRNA from 1 species
UACGGGGGGGGCAAGCGUUGUUCGGAAUUACUGGGCGUAAAGGGUUCGUAGGUGGCCGACUAAGUCAAACGUGAAAUCCCUCAGCUUAACUGGGGAACUGCGUCUGAUACUGAUCGGCUUGAGUGCAGGAGAGGAACGCGGAAUUCCAGGUGUAGCGGUGAAAUGCGUAGAUAUCUGGAGGAACACCGGUGGCGAAGGCGGCGUUCUGGACUGCAACUGACACUGAUGAACGAAAGCCAGGGGAGCAAACGGG